AUGCAGAACAACGCGACAGAGGUUCCUGCCCAAGGCCAUGGCCUUGGGCAGGUGAGCAACAACGACAUCAGGCUGUCCGGCUCCGUCAUUGGGGGCACUUUCGUCGUUGUCGUUGUUUUGGUGGGCGGCGCUAUUCUUCUGCACCGAUUCUUCAGGUUCUACAAGCUGGAGAAAGCACUGCGAGCGCUGAAGAUCCCCCCCUCCAGGUUCCAACCGGAGGGGGCAAUCAACUCAGUGUGCACCAUCUGCAUUGCAGAUUUCCGCCCCCGCGCGCGCGUGGCAGUGCUCCCCACGUGCGGGCACGUCUUCCACCGCCACUGCCUCCGGGAGGUGGUGGCGGGGCAGAGCCCACGCUGCCCGCUCUGUUGGGCAGCUCUGCUGUGA
rnacentral:rRNA from 1 species